GAGCGCGACCAUGGAGGCAGGGAUCACCCGGUCCCAUUCCGAACCCGGCAGUUAAGCCUGCCAUCGCCGAAAGUACUGCGGGUCCAGCCCGUGGGAGGACAGGACGUCGCGCUCG
rnacentral:rRNA from 2 species